rnacentral:tRNA from 1 species
GGUGGUUCAGUGGUGUAGAAUGCUUGCCUCGUAUGCAUGAAGCCCUGGGUUCAAUUUCUCAGCACCA